GUUGGCCUUUCUACGGGGGCAUCCAGGAGCCCUUUUGCCACAGUGGCUUUUGCCAGGUUAUCUGGUAUUCAGUUAAUCACUGCCUCUCAGAUGCCACAUGGUUCCUCUCUGUGGUCACAGGUCAAGGAACCUGUAUGAAAGAAUGAAAAACAUCAAGAUCAAUGUGACGAUAUUAACAGCAAAUUUGAAAUCAAAUCUUCUUGAUUAAUUAUUCUAGUCAUAAAAAUGUUAAAAGUACAUACAACU
rnacentral:lncRNA from 1 species